rnacentral:lncRNA from 1 species
AGCUAGUCUUAAUCACUUCCACUGGGGUGGGCGUGGGGGGAUCCACAGAGGAACAUUAGAGAUGGCAGGAAUCUCCCGACAGUGGUCCUGCUCCUAAUAUGCUACCCCCAAACAGGAAGCGGGCUAGAAGAGUUUCUAAUGACUCUACUGUAGGUAAUUCCAGAUGAGUCCCAAUCCCAGGGCAGGAGCCACGCACUCCUCGGGUAUAUGCCGUGCGGUGUUGUUUGGGGAGGCAGAAAGGGGCAGGCAGCUUGCUCCUGACUCCCACGUGGAGGGGCGCAGGGAGGCCUUCCCAGAGACUCCAAACCCAGGGGUACAGUCGGUUCUUCGGUGCCUUCUUGGCUUCUCUGCUGCUUGAGACUUCAGGAGCCCCCAAGACUUGGUCACCGAGGUGCCACAGGCGCCGGCCUUGACCGCACUCUCCCGCGGGCCCCGGGGCUGCUUUCCCCGGCUUUACCUUUGUUUUCCUAGUCUGUUCCUCCCUGAGCUUGUUUGUGUAAGAAACCCUCUCUCCCUGCUUCCUGUGUCUCUGUCAUUUCCUCCCAUUGCCAUUCUACACUGUGGCACUGAGGGCCAUUGUUUUUCUUUCUAACCACAAUUCCAGACCCUGGGAAUGGCAAGUAGGUGCGCGAGGACGCUGAGGCAGGCGGGGCUGCGGGCUGGGGCCGAGCUCCGAGCCCGGGAAUACUGGUGGGCUGCUGUUUGCCGGGCCGCUCGGGAAGGAAGAAACUCAGUAACAGGAGACAGCGUCUUGCCAGUUAAUCCUCAGGCACUAUCUAAAUGAAGGCAUGUUCCCAGAAGUGAAGAUGGGAGAUGUCUGAAAGUCCUGAUAACCAUCUUCUUCAAAGGAAGCUGUGACGGUCCCAUUUGGUUUCUGAAUUUUUAACAUAUCCUUAUUACUUUUAAACGAACCGAAAAAUAAACUAAACCUAAUUUAUAGGGGAGCUUAACAGAGAUACGAAGCCAGGUGCUGGACACAUGGAUACCUAAUUAGAAAUGAAUUUCCUUGCGCUUCUGUUCAGUGCUUCUGCGUUAUCCGUUUUGAUCAGCCUCACUAUUCGUCCAGCCUGCGCUGUAGUUGCAACUCUAACAAAGUAAACUGAGCAAGAUUUACAGACAACUUCGGCGUGGUUUCAUACGAGAUGUAUUGAAGCACAUUUAUUUUGUUGACUGUUACCUAGCAGAAGACGGUUGUUCUAUUUUGGUAGCAUUUGUUCCAUAAAACUCUCAAGGUUUUUGCCAGCUCCUUUCAUUACACCUUUCCUGCCA